rnacentral:rRNA from 1 species
UACGAAGGGGGCUAGCGUUGCUCGGAAUCACUGGGCGUAAAGCGCACGUAGGCGGAUCUUUAAGUCAGGGGUGAAAUCCCAAGGCUCAACCUUGGAACUGCCUUUGAUACUGGGGAUCUCGAGUCCGGAAGAGGUGAGUGGAACUGCGAGUGUAGAGGUGAAAUUCGUAGAUAUUCGCAAGAACACCAGUGGCGAAGGCGGCUCACUGGUCCGGUACUGACACUGAGGUGCGAAAGCGUGGGGAGCAAACAGG